rnacentral:rRNA from 1 species
CCUACGGGUGGCAGCAGUGAGGAAUAUUUGUCAAUGGACGGAAGUCUGAACCAGCCAUGCCGCGUGCAGGAAGACGGCUCUAUGAGUUGUAAACUGCUUUUGUACAAGGGUAAACCUGAAUACGUGUAUUCAGCUGAAAGUACUGUACGAAUAAGGAUCGGCUAACUCCGUGCCAGCAGCCGCGGUAAUACGGAGGAUCCAAGGGUUAUCCGGAUUUAUUGGGGUUAAAGGGUGCGUAGGCGGGACCUUAAGUCAGCGGUAAAAUUGCGGUGCUCAACGCCGUAGAGCCAUUGAAACUGGGGUUCUUGAGUGAGCGAGAAGUAUGCGGAAUGCGUGGUGUAGCGGUGAAAUGCAUAGAUAUCACGCAGAACCCCGAUUGCGAAGGCAGCAUACCGGCGCUCAACUGACGCUGAGGCACGAAAGUGCGGGUAUCGAACAGGAUUAGAUACCCGAGUAGUC